UUCUGUAAGCCGUUGAAGGUGUGUCGUGAGGCAUGCUGGAGGUAUCAGAAGUGCGAAUGCUGACAUAAGUAACGAUAAAGCGGGUGAAAAGCCCGCUCGCCGGAAGACCAAGGGUUCCUGUCCAACGUUAAUCGGGGCAGGGUGAGUCGACCCCUAAGGCGAGGCCGAAAGGCGUAGUCGAUGGGAAACGGGUUAAUAUUCCCGUACUUGGUGUUACUGCGAAGGGGGGACGGAGAAGG
rnacentral:rRNA from 1 species